UGGGGAAUUUUGGACAAUGGGCGAAAGCCUGAUCCAGCAAUGCCGCGUGUGUGAAGAAGGCCUUCGGGUUGUAAAGCACUUUUGUCCGGAAAGAAAUCCUCUGGGUUAAUACCUCGGGGGGAUGACGGUACCGGAAGAAUAAGCACCGGCUAACUACGUGCCAGCAGCCGCGGUAAUACGUAGGGUGCAAGCGUUAAUCGGAAUUACUGGGCGUAAAGCGUGCGCAGGCGGUUUUGUAAGACGGAUGUGAAAUCCCCGGGCUUAACCUGGGAACUGCAUUCGUGACUGCAAGGCUAGAGUAUGGCAGAGGGGGGUUAGAAUUCCACGUGUAGCAGUGAAAUGCGUAGAGAUGUGGAGGAAUACCGAUGGCGAAGGCAGCCCCCUGGGCCAAUAUUGACGCUCAUGCACGAAAGCGUGGGGAGCAAACAGGAUUAGAUACCCUGGUAGUCCACGCCCUAAACGAUGUCAACUAGUUGUUGGGGAUUCAUUUCCUUAGUAACGUAGCUAACGCGUGAAGUUGACCGCCUGGGGAGUACGGUCGCAAGAUUAAAACUCAAAUGAAUUGACGGGGUCAUAGCUGUUUCCU
rnacentral:rRNA from 1 species